rnacentral:lncRNA from 1 species
CAUGGUGUUCAGGCGUUACGUUACGUGGAGGUUGGCCGGGUGGCCUACAUUUCCUUUGGGCCCCAUCCUGGAAAGCUGGUCGCAACUGUAGGUGUUAUUGAUCAAAAGAGGGUGUUAGUGGACGGACCCUGCACUCAGUGAGGAAACAGGCCACGCCUUUCAAAUGCAUGCAGCUCACUGGCUUCAUCCUCGAGUUCCCGCACAGUGCCCACCAGAACUAUGUACCAAAAGCUUGGGAGAAGGCAGGCAUCGAUGCGAAGUGGGCAGCCACAAGAUGGGCCAAGAAAAUUGGUGCCAGAGAAAGGUUAGCCAAGAUGACAGACUUUGAUCAUCUCAAAGUCAUGAAGGCAAAGAAAACGAGGAACCGAAUAAUCAAGACUGAAGUAGAGAAACUUCAAAGAGCUGCUAUUCUGAAAGCGGCUCACAAAAAGAGCAGCUGUUGCUCAGGCUGCCAUUGUGGCAGCAGCAGCAGCAACUGCUACAGCUAACGUCCCAGCCAAGAAGGCUACAGGACCAGGCAAGAAGCCCGCAGCCCAGAAAGCACCUGUUCCAAAGGCAGCUGGCAAGAAAGCG